rnacentral:rRNA from 1 species
GGCGACCGCUUUUGGAGUUCGAUUAAGCCAUGCGAGUCGAGAGCCUUAGGGGCUCGGCAUACUGCUCAGUAACACGUGGAUAACCUGCCCUAUUGUCUGGAAUAACCUCGGGAAACUGAGAACAAGGCCGGAUAGCCCACAAUGCCUGGAACGGUUUGUGGGUGAAGAUAGGAUGGGUCUGCGGCGUAUCAGGUCGUAGGGGGUGUAAUGGACCUCCUAGCCAUCGACGCGUACGGGUGUUGGGAGACAUAGCCCGGAGAUGGAUUCUGAGACACGAAUCCAGACCCUACGGGGUGCAGCAGGCGCGAAAACUUCACACUGCAGGAAACUGUGAUGAGGGAACUCCAAGUGCAUGCACUAUGUGUAUGCUUUUCUUAACUAUUAAUCGGUUUUGGAAUAAGGGCUGGGAAAGACCGGUGCCAGCCGCCGCGGUAAUACCGGCAGCUCAAGUGGUCGUCGCUUUUAUUGGGCCUAAAACGUCCGUAGCCUGUUUGGUAAAUCUGUGGGUAAAUCAACCAGCUUAACUGGUUGAAUUCUGCAGAGACUGCCAGACUAGGGACCGGGAGAGGUGUGGGGUACUCUAGGGGUAGGGGUAAAAUCCUGUCAUCCUUAGAGGACCACCAGUUGCGAAGGCGCCACACUGGAACGGAUCCGACGGUCAGGGACGAAGCCUAGGGGCACGAACCGGAUUAGAUACCCGGGUAGUCCUAGGUGUAAACGCUGUGAACUUGGUGUCGGGGAUCCGUAAUGGGUUCUCGGUGCCGGAGUGAAGAUGUUAAGUUCACUGCCUGGGGAGUACGGUCGCAAGGCUGAAACUUAAAGGAAUUGGCGGGGGAGCACUGCAACGGGAGGAGCGUGCGGUUU